AUGUGUCGUUCAGUAGCCAUUUUUCUCAAGGAUUGCCUCCUAAACGAAUUUGAUAGCAGUAAAAUUGUCAACACUCUGGCUAGGGCUGUCUGGUAGGAGAAGUUUUGUAUGUACUGCUGGAAUAUGCUUGUUAUAAUACUACUCAUAAGGAAAUAGAAAGUAUACAUUUUAUCUUAUCUGUAAUAUUUUCAUCCUUUUUGUAUUUUAGUUACUAAUGAACUCUCGAAAAAUGUUGGGCUCUUAUCAAUUCCUUAAAAUCUUGGCUAGGUCAUUUUAUCUGAUAUCUCCAUAUAAUCUUCUGAAGUCUUUGCUUGGUCAUCAAACUAGGAUUAAUUUAGUGACAUGAUUGGUGUAUUUGAUCAAAUCAACUAUACUUCAUAUCCCAGCUCCUUGAAAGGAUAUCAACAUAUGUAAGCGCUGUUAGUUACUAAUGAACUCUCGAAAAAUGUUGGGCUCUUAUCAAUUCCUUAAAAUCUUGGCUAGGUCAUUUUAUCUGAUAUCUC
rnacentral:lncRNA from 1 species